rnacentral:rRNA from 1 species
GACGUAGGUGGCAAGCGUUACUCGGAAUUACUAGGCGUAAAGCGCACGUAGGCGGAAUGUUAAGUCUGUUGUGUAAUCUCUGGGCCCAACCCAGAAACUGCAACGGAAACUGGCGUUCUUGAGUGAGGCUGAGGAGAUCGGAAUUCCUAGUGUAGCAGUGAAAUGCGUAGAUAUUAGGAGGAACACCGGUGGCGAAGGCGGAUCUCUGGGCCUUUACUGACGCUCAAGUGUGAAAGCUAGGGGAGCAAAC